rnacentral:rRNA from 1 species
GACGAACGCUGGCGGCGUGCUUAACACAUGCAAGUCGAACGGAAAGGCCUCUUUCGGGGGGUACUCGAGUGGCGAACGGGUGAGUAACACGUGAGUAACCUGCCCUUGACUUUGGGAUAACUUCAGGAAACUGGGGCUAAUACCGGAUAGGAGCUCCUGCUGCAUGGUGGGGGUUGGAAAGUUUCGGCGGUUGGGGAUGGACUCGCGGCUUAUCAGCUUGUUGGUGGGGUAGUGGCUUACCAAGGCUUUGACGGGUAGCCGGCCUGGGAGGGUGACCGGCCACAUUGGGACUGAGAUACGGCCCAGACUCCUACGGGAGGCAGCAGUGGGGAAUAUUGCACAAUGGGUGGAAGCCUGAUGCAGCAACGCCGUGUGCGGGAUGACGGCCUUCGGGUUGUAAACCGCUUUCGCUCAUGACGAAGCUUUGUGUGACGGUAGUGGGUAAAGAGGCACCGGCUAACUACGUG